AUUGAACGCUGGCGGCAGGCCUAACACAUGCAAGUCGAGCGGGGUUUUCGGACCUAGCGGCGGACGGGUGAGUAAUGCGUAGGAAGCUACCCGAUAGAGGGGGAUACCAGUUGGAAACGACUGUUAAUACCGCAUAAUGUCUACGGACCAAAGUGUGGGACCUUCGGGCCACAUGCUAUCGGAUGCGCCUACGUGGGAUUAGCUAGUUGGUGGGGUAAUGGCUCACCAAGGCGACGAUCCCUAGCUGGUUUGAGAGGAUGAUCAGCCACACUGGAACUGAGACACGGUCCAGACUCCUACGGGAGGCAGCAGUGGGGAAUAUUGGACAAUGGGCGCAAGCCUGAUCCAGCCAUGCCGCGUGUGUGAAGAAGGCCUUCGGGUUGUAAAGCACUUUCAGUAGAGAGGAAGGGUGUUGUGUUAAUAGCACAGCAUUUUGACGUUACCUACAGAAGAAGCACCGGCUAACUCUGUGCCAGCCGCCGCAGUAAUAC
rnacentral:rRNA from 1 species